rnacentral:rRNA from 2 species
GUCCUUUAGAUGUUAAUUUAAGGUCUAACCUGCCCACUGAAUUAUUUUAAAUGGCCGCAGUAAUUUGACUGUGCAAAGGUAGCAUAAUCAUUAGUUUUUUAAUUGAAAGCUUGUAUGAAAGGUUGGACGAAGUAAAAUCUGUCUCUAAUUAAAUUAAUUUAGAAUUUAACUUUUAAGUUAAAAGGCUUAAAUUUAACUAAAAGACGAGAAGACCCUAUAGAUCUUUAUAUUUAAAUUAAUCAAUUUAAUUAAGAAUUUUUAAAAUUUUAUUAAUUUAAUUAUUUUAUUGGGGUAAUAUAAAGAUUAAAAUAAUUCUUUUUUUUUAUUAACAUUAAUUUAUGAUUUUGAUGAUCCAAUUAUAUUGAUUUUAAGAUUAAGUUACCUUAGGGAUAACAGCGUAAUUUUUUUAGAGAGUUCUUAUCGAUAAGAAAGUUUGCGACCUCGAUGUUGGAUUAAAGAUUAUUUUAGGUGUAGAAGCUUAAAAAUUUUGGUCUGUUCGACCAUUAAAUCUUUACAUGAUCUGAGUUCAGACCGGUGUAAGCCAGGUCGGUUUCUAUCUUUAGUAAAUUAAAAUAUUUUAGUACGAAAGGACCAAUUAUUUAAUAUAAAUAUUUAAAUUUUGAUUAUUAUUA